AUCUAGUUGACGAGUCUCAAAGACAGGACGAAAUGCACAUCCUGGAU
rnacentral:hammerhead_ribozyme from 1 species